rnacentral:misc_RNA from 1 species
GAUGAAGAACGUAGCGAAAUGCGAUAAGUAAUGUGAAUUGCAGAAUUCAGUGAAUCAUCGAAUCUUUGAACGCACAUUGCGCCCGCCAGUAUUCUGGCGGGCAUGCCUGUUCGAGCGUCAUUUCAACCAUCAAGCCCCAGGCUUGUGUUGGGGGCCUGCAGCUGCUGCAGCCCCCUAAAAGCAGUGGCGGACUCGCUGUCAUACCGAGCGCAGUAGUUACAUCUCGCUCUGGGCAUGGCGGCGGGCACCUGCCGUAAAACAGUCUUUCUAAGGUUGACCUCGGAUCAGGUAGGAAUACCCGCUGAACUUAAGCAUAUCAAUAAGCGGAGGA